rnacentral:rRNA from 1 species
AGCGUACACGGUGGAUGCCCUGGCAGUCAGAGGCGAUGAAGGACGUGCUAAUCUGCGAAAAGCGUCGGUAAGGUGAUAUGAACCGUUAUAACCGGCGAUGUCCGAAUGGGGAAACCCAGUGCAAUUCGUUGCACUAUCGUUAACUGAAUACAUAGGUUAACGAGGCGAACCGGGGGAACUGAAACAUCUAAGUACCCCGAGGAAAAGAAAUCAACCGAGAUUCCCCCAGUAGCGGCGAGCGAACGGGGAGCAGCCCAGAGUCUGAAUCAGCUUGUGUGUUAGUGGAACGGUCUGGAAAGUCCGACGGUACAGGGUGAUAGUCCCGUACACCAAAAUGCACAGGCUGUGAACUCGAAGAGUAGGGCGGGACACGUGGUAUCCUGUCUGAAUAUGGGGGGACCAUCCUCCAAGGCUAAAUACUCCUGACUGACCGAUAGUGAACCAGUACCGUGAGGGAAAGGCGAAAAGAACCCCGGCGAGGGGAGUGAAAAAGAACCUGAAACCGUGUACGUACAAGCAGUGGGAGCACCUUCGGGUGUGACUGCGUACCUUUUGUAUAAUGGGUCAGCGACUUAUAUUCUGUAGCAAGGUUAACCGUAUAGGGGAGCCGCAGGGAAACCGAGUCUUAACUGGGCGUUAAGUUGCAGGGUAUAGACCCGAAACCCGGUGAUCUAGCCAUGGGCAGGUUGAAGGUUGGGUAACACUAACUGGAGGACCGAACCGACUAAUGUUGAAAAAUUAGCGGAUGACUUGUGGCUGGGGGUGAAAGGCCAAUCAAACCGGGAGAUAGCUGGUUCUCCCCGAAAGCUAUUUAGGUAGCGCCUCGUGAACUCAUCUUCGGGGGUAGAGCACUGUUUCGGCUAGGGGGUCAUCCCGACUUACCAACCCGAUGCAAACUACGAAUACCGAAGAAUGUUAUCACGGGAGACACACGGCGGGUGCUAACGUCCGUCGUGAAGAGGGAAACAACCCAGACCGCCAGCUAAGGUCCCAAAGUCAUGGUUAAGUGGGAAACGAUGUGGGAAGGCACAGACAGCCAGGAUGUUGGCUUAGAAGCAGCCAUCAUUUAAAGAAAGCGUAAUAGCUCACUGGUCGAGUCGGCCUGCGCGGAAGAUGUAACGGGGCUAAACCAUGCACCGAAGCUGCGGCAGCGACGCUUAUGCGUUGUUGGGUAGGGGAGCGUUCUGUAAGCCGUUGAAGGUGUGCUGUGAGGCAUGCUGGAGGUAUCAGAAGUGCGAAUGCUGACAUAAGUAACGAUAAAGCGGGUGAAAAGCCCGCUCGCCGGAAGACCAAGGGUUCCUGUCCAACGUUAAUCGGGGCAGGGUGAGUCGACCCCUAAGGCGAGGCCGAAAGGCGUAGUCGAUGGGAAACAGGUUAAUAUUCCUGUACUUGGUGUUACUGCGAAGGGGGGACGGAGAAGGCUAUGUUAGCCGGGCGACGGUUGUCCCGGUUUAAGCAUGUAGGCUGAUUGUCCAGGCAAAUCCGGAUAAUCAAGGCUGAGGUGUGAUGACGAGGCACUACGGUGCUGAAGUAACAAAUGCCCUGCUUCCAGGAAAAGCCUCUAAGCAUCAGGUAACAUCAAAUCGUACCCCAAACCGACACAGGUGGUCAGGUAGAGAAUACCAAGGCGCUUGAGAGAACUCGGGUGAAGGAACUAGGCAAAAUGGUGCCGUAACUUCGGGAGAAGGCACGCUGAUAUGUAGGUGAAGCGACUUGCUCGUGGAGCUGAAAUCAGUCGAAGAUACCAGCUGGCUGCAACUGUUUAUUAAAAACACAGCACUGUGCAAACACGAAAGUGGACGUAUACGGUGUGACGCCUGCCCGGUGCCGGAAGGUUAAUUGAUGGGGUUAUCCGUAAGGAGAAGCUCUUGAUCGAAGCCCCGGUAAACGGCGGCCGUAACUAUAACGGUCCUAAGGUAGCGAAAUUCCUUGUCGGGUAAGUUCCGACCUGCACGAAUGGCGUAAUGAUGGCCAGGCUGUCUCCACCCGAGACUCAGUGAAAUUGAACUCGCUGUGAAGAUGCAGUGUACCCGCGGCAAGACGGAAAGACCCCGUGAACCUUUACUAUAGCUUGACACUGAACAUUGAGCCUUGAUGUGUAGGAUAGGUGGGAGGCUUUGAAGCGUGGACGCCAGUCUGCGUGGAGCCAACCUUGAAAUACCACCCUUUAAUGGCUGGUGUUCUAACGUAGACCCGUAAUCCGGGUUGCGGACAGUGUCUGGUGGGUAGUUUGACUGGGGCGGUCUCCUCCUAAAGAGUAACGGAGGAGCACGAAGGUUAGCUAAUCCUGGUCGGACAUCAGGAGGUUAGUGCAAUGGCAUAAGCUAGCUUGACUGCGAGCGUGACGGCGCGAGCAGGUGCGAAAGCAGGUCAUAGUGAUCCGGUGGUUCUGAAUGGAAGGGCCAUCGCUCAACGGAUAAAAGGUACUCCGGGGAUAACAGGCUGAUACCGCCCAAGAGUUCAUAUCGACGGCGGUGUUUGGCACCUCGAUGUCGGCUCAUCACAUCCUGGGGCUGAAGUAGGUCCCAAGGGUAUGGCUGUUCGCCAUUUAAAGUGGUACGCGAGCUGGGUUUAGAACGUCGUGAGACAGUUCGGUCCCUAUCUGCCGUGGGCGCUGGAGAAUUGAGGGGGGCUGCUCCUAGUACGAGAGGACCGGAGUGGACGCAUCACUGGUGUUCGGGUUGUCAUGCCAAUGGCACUGCCCGGUAGCUAAAUGCGGAAGAGAUAAGUGCUGAAAGCAUCUAAGCACGAAACUUGCCCCGAGAUGAGUUCU